rnacentral:tRNA from 1 species
CUUUCACUUCAAGAGGAAACGGUGAUCCACAUCCCUCCUGAUAUUUUUUUUCAGAAGCGUUUGUUUUGUUUGUUUUGUUUUUUUAAGCUAUAGUGCUUCAUUAUUCCUUUCUUGUAGCAAGUUUUGUUUGCCUUUGGAUCUGGGAUUUGUCUGUGUCCAUCCUAGGAUUUGACUGUCAUUCCUCUGAUGUCUGAGAGCAACCCAACUAGAUAACGGGAGCUCUGAAAUUAAGACUUUGGCUUUCUAAACGGUCUCUCUAGAUUACAUCCUUGACCCCUGUAGACACAGCCAAAAAGAAACUGUUAAUAGCCAUCUGUCUAUGUGACUCUGUAUUCUAUUAAUGCACCCAUAGGUCUUUCAUAGGUUUGUGGUAAAGGAGGAUUAAAGGACAAGUUUUUACUUUCAGCAUCCUCAUGCAUUUCAGUGGGAACUGAACAAAUAAUUUGUCCAUCAUUAAUUAUGUGCCAAGCACUUCUAAUUUUUUUUUUUAAUUUUGUGUGUGUAUGUGUAUGUGUAUCACAGGUAAUAAAGGCAACUGGAUGACAUCUGUAGGAGGGAAAAAUAAUGACCAAUUGCUUCUUUUUGAAACCUGUCAUUGAUGCACAUUUAUCAUGUAAGAGGUUUGUCUUGAUUCCUAUUAUUAGUACCCAUUAGUACAUGGAUAUAUUUCUGAAUUUUUGUAAUUUUUGCCUUCACACCUGGGCAACAGAAUCAGCCAAUGUUUUCCUGUCUUAAUAGUUCAAAUUGAGUUUAAGUUUAACAUAAGUAAAAAUUCAUUUGGGGAGUUGAGUUAGGAGAAUUAUAAUUAUGAAUUUAAGCGGUGUUCUUCUAUACAUUAAUACAUGAGCAGACAUUUGAUCUGAACUACAACAUAGCUUUGUAAAACCUACUAGCAUGUCUUCAUUCUGUUCAAUAUCUCUUUAUACCACAUCAAAAUAUCAUCGUCUUAAUAAUAGAAGAUUCUGCAAAGGAUCAUAGGAAUUCAUGGGUCAAUAAGUUGAAGUGGGUGAAAAUAACCCCAAAAUCACAUUGGCCAAGUGAUCCUUAUCAUCCUAUUGGAAGUGCUGACAGAGGUUUGGGGGUCUAAAUAAAAUGACCAAAAUCCCAGCUUCCUUAAAUUUCAGACCUGAUUGUAAAGACACCAAAACAGAGACACGCUACUAGGAACUGAAGAACGAGUAAGAUGGCGGUCAACCCACUACUCCUAUUAUCUACUUUAAAUAGGAAAUUAAACACCGCAAAGAAAAUAUUCGUGGCAUUAUUUCUCUGUCCUUUGACCUGCCAUGAAUUUUUUUUUUCUUUUUAGGCAGUCUUUAUUCUCCUGGUGAACACAACAAGUAGUGGGAAAUCUAUCUAAUACAGUAAUAGAAUUUUUAAUCUGGGUCAACUCUAGACUGACACUCAUAUAAAAUAGUUCAAAUACCUGAAAUGACGAUGCAGUGUACAUUUGUGUUGUUGUUGGUAUGGAGAUGACAGCAGACCCGGUUAGUAAAAGGCUCUGCAGAGGCACUGGUCAGUGACAUCUUCAGUCCUGGUUUGAGGGGAGUUCAAGCGAGGUCUAUAUGGCCUGAAACACUGGACAUGAUUUCUGAGUAAAUGAGUUAUAAGACUCAAUGCUGUGGUGGCCCUGGGAGUCACUGUGAAUCAGAGCCCCAGCUUAAGGUGCCUACUGGCUGAUUCUGCAGUGCUAAACUCCAGUGCGGUUGGGGAGAUCAUUCUCUAUGGAACGUGGGUCUCCCGAAAUCGGAACCAUAUUUAUAAAGCCCUCCUACCCACUAUCAAAAACAGAGUGAUCUCUGUGCAGCAGGAAAGGGAGAGAUUGGAAAAUACCCCUGUUGGUCCACUGUGGUUCAUGUGUUCUUCCUUCCCCUGCUAAGAAAAAUAGGAUGCUGAGACAAGGCCGUACACCUACACAGUGAAGAAGUGGCUUCAAAGUGUGCAGUGAUGCUAACCUUUGUAAUAGUUAUCUUCCUAGAACUACAUGCAUGGUGGAUUGUAAUAAAAGGGGAAUAAUGCACACACCCUAAGUGUUCCCUUUCCUCUAUUCCUCCAUAGCUAUGUCUACCCCUAACUGAUUCAUUUGGGGGGGAGCACAUUUAUUAAAGGGGAGCAAACAUGGAAUUUUUCACUUUUCCAUUGGCCUUGUUUGAUUCCAGGGGCACCUUUACCAUAGGCACAGAUGUAAAUUGUUCUUUCUGAGUUCUCUUAGAUGCCACUGCUUGUGCUUCUGGAUGGCUUUUGCUUCUCUGGGCUUUCGAUUCCUCUCUGGUUAUCCUUGGUCUGUGCCAAGCAAACAUGCUUCAGUGAGCAAAAGAAAAGACAUAUAAGGUGUUUUGCAAAAUUACUUGACACCAGCUCCCCGAAAUGGGAACCAAAUUUUGAUUCUCGUAUAUUUUCCUUUGUUACAAUUCAACCUUCCAAGUGUGUAUUUAUGAUUGUGGCUUAACCUAGAGCACUUAAGUGCUGGUGUUUUCUGCCACUGGCUGUCAUACCAUGGGGUUUGACUCUUCUUGGUCUUCCAGAUGAUCUUUCCUAGACUUAAGACUCUGUGAACUUUUAGGAAGACUUCUUUGUCACCUUCACCGAACAUAGAAAUUUUCAAGGGGAAAAUGAAGGGAGUGAUUUUUCUUCCAAUGACUUUGUGGCAGGCAAAUGUUUCUGCCAAUUCGCAUGCUGGGUUAUAGGUUUAGCAUGGGCUGUUUCUCUCUUAAUGUCUUGGUAUUGUUGGCAUCUUGAAUCGUGAUGACCCACUGUUCCAAUGUAUUUAUUUUCUUUUAUAUUGUCAAAAUAACACACUCGAAAAGGAAUCAGAGUGAGCAUUCUGUAUGCUGAGUUACAAUGGAGCUAGAUGUCAUUUGUACAGGACUGUACAGUGAUUAAUAUCUGCAGAGAAAUUGGACCAAAUGAGACCUGCUGAAAUAGGUUUGAUUUAUAUUGCCUUCAUCAUCCCGAUUUUGGAUGAAAUGGUUAUUGCUCUCCACCCCUGCUGAAAGAAAAGAGUGUUAAACUUUAAUAAUCACAGCAUUGUGAUAAAAGCACAAAGCUUAUUUGUUCAAAAUGUUUGUUUUUCUCAUCUCGGCACAUACAUUGGAAUGGAGAUUCUUCCGUCAUGGACCUCCAUUGAAAAUUUUUUUUUGGGCAGUGUUUCCGGUACUCAGCAUGCGUAAAAUCAUCGGUAGCACUUAUAAAAAUGCAGAUUCCUUCACCCUAACCCCAGAGAGUCUGAUUCAGAAACUUCAAAGAGGGCUAAGGAAUCUGCAUUUCAGGCUAUCAUCCUUAAUGGUUUUGACGGGAUGGUCUGUGGACCUUCCUUUGAGAAACUCUGCUGUUCAGGACUAUGCAGAGGUCAAAGUAUCUCUCGCUUCCUAGUGGCACCUCCUCUCACUCUCUUUCCUCUACAAAUAAGUCAAAGCAUGCAUAAUUCAUUAUCUCCAGGAAAAAGACCCAAAGAAGGACACCCUAGGACUAGGGCAGAGUAGAUUUCCAUAAUUUCUUUGCCCUUUGUAUAUAUGUGUACUUCCCCCCCGCCCCAGACUGAAAGCCUGCAGCAGAGCAGUUCUGUGACUGGGUAGAUGGGAAUACAUCUCUGAGUAGGAUGUGUCCUAAUGAUACCCAACAGGGAGCAGAAAUGAUGACCUUUCUGAAAGUUGUUUAUUUCUGGGCCCUUAUGCACUUUGAGUCCCAGGAACCUGAGAGUGAUCCAUAAUUUAAUGAUGUGUAUGGCCCCAAGGAGAUUCAGAUAUAACCGCACAUACGAAUCACCAAAAUGAAUAUAGACUGCUUAGUAAAUUUAGCUGUAUUUCACGAAGAAAAUCCUGAGUCAUCGAACUGCUAAAUUUGUCCAGUUUGAUUCAGGCAGGACUAGGAAACCCAGGUAAAGGCCCUGAACCCCAGGCAUUCCCUGGUGAUCUAGUGGUUAGGAUUCGGCACGUUCACUGCUGCAGCCCAGGUUCCAUCCCUGGCCUGGGAACUGAGAUCCCAUGUCACAUUCCUGCACGUCACAGCAAAAAAAGACCAUGAACCCCAAUGUUCACUAACAAUUCAAAGCAAAACCCGUGAAGGAGAAUACAUUUUAAAAUGAGUGAAUUCAAACCAGUGGUCAGAUUCUGUGUGUGAUGUCAUGCAGUUCUCUAAUUUUCCAGUUGCUUUACCUGGGAGAGAUGGCCGUCCUUGCAUCAUGCAGAAAGAAAAGACAUUUGGAAGUCUUCAGUGACUCCGUUGGUCCCUUCUAUAGAACAGAGUAACUGCAGAGGUACCAAAUUCCCAUAUGCUAUGAGAAAUAGAGAAUGAAUGGCUUAAAUUCAUGCUUGUCGUGAUGGUGAGUUAAUAGUUAACUAAAGGCUACAACCAAAGAGAGUGAAGACCAGGCAGUGACACUAAUGCACUUCAGCCACUAAUUAAGAAUAUCUGCCCAACAAUUUUUUCUAAAAAAGUGUUAAACCCUAUUCCGUUUCCUUUCUCUUCUUUACUUCCCAGGUGGGAUCCCUUUAUUUCCCACCUUCCUAACCUUUACAAAAUGUUCUUGUCUGUGAACACAUUUCGUUGUUUAUUGGUUAAAGAAUGUUUAGUUCCUAGACUGUCAUCCUUGCUUUAUUUUGAGAAUUUGGCUUGAAAAACUUUUUUAAAAAAAAUGUGUCCCAGUCCAGUGACUAUCAAAGGGUUUUCCCUGGGGGUGGGGGGAGGAGAUUUUUCUGCGACGCAGCCUUCUAAAAGCACUUAGAAAGAUUGUGCCAACCAGAGGCUUUAGUCAGUCUCCUCUCUCAGCGAGCUCUUCCACCUUGUCAGUUUAUUCUUAGAAUCGUCGACCUUUAGCUGAUUUACCUGCAUUUGCACACGGAAAAUCAGCACAUCUUCAGACUCUCUUGCUACUGAUGUUGGCUCCAUCCAUCACAGAUGGAAGAGGAUUGAUGCCCAACUAAACAGUGCAGGGGAGUGGCUUUACAGUUGUGUCUGUUUGGGUGUGUGUGUGUGUAUGUGCACAUGCACACAUGCAAUUUCUAGGUUGGUGGUGGGUCCGUGGCUCGUGUCCCUCAUCAUGCUCUCCAAGUGCAGGGAAGAAGUCUGUGGUUGCAAAGUUUACCAGUUUUACCUCAGUGCAGUAGUAGGUCUUUAUUUUGGGGUGUCAGCACUUGAGAAUAUUGAGUAAAGCUGGUCUCCUGAUGGAAAAUUCAAACAUUACAGGUUUCUAGAUAAAAAUCAAACCCCUUUUCAUUUAUAUAGCCACUUGUGGCAUCUUAGU